rnacentral:miRNA from 1 species
AAGCAGCACAUAACAUACUGGUA